rnacentral:rRNA from 1 species
CAGUCGCCGCGGGAAUACGGAGGGUGCAAGCGUUAAUCGGAAUUACUGGGCGUAAAGCGCACGCAGGCGGUCUGACAAGUCAGAUGUGAAAUCCCCGGGCUUAACCUGGGAACUGCAUUUGAAACUGUCAGGCUGGAGUCUUGUAGAGGGGGGUGGAAUUCCAGGUGUAGCGGUGAAAUGCGUAGAGAUCUGGAGGAAUACCGGUGGCGAAGGCGGCCCCCUGGACAAAGACUGACGCUCAGGUGCGAAAGCGUGGGGAGCAAACAGGAUUAGAGACCCCAGUAGUCCCUGUCUCUUAUAA